AUUUAAAUAGCUUAAAUUAAAGAGUAUAAUAUUGAAGAUAUUAUGGUGAUUUUUUGAAUCUUUAAAUA
rnacentral:tRNA from 1 species